rnacentral:rRNA from 1 species
UAGAGUUUGAUCCUGGCUCAGGACGAACGCUGGCGGCGUGCCUAACACAUGCAAGUCGAACGCGCUCCAUUCGGUAGCAAUACUGAUGAAGAGCGAGUGGCGAACGGGUGAGUAGCACGUGAGCAACCUGCCCCGAAGACUGGGACAACACCGGGAAACCGGUGCUAAUACCGGAUAUCCCUAUCGGAUCGCAUGAUCCAAUAAGGAAAUGUUUUUCGCUUCGGGAGGGGCUCGCGGCCUAUCAGCUUGUUGGUGGGGUAACGGCCCACCAAGGCAUCGACGGGUAGCUGGUCUGAGAGGACGAUCAGCCACACUGGGACUGAGACACGGCCCAGACUCCUACGGGAGGCAGCAGUGGGGAAUCUUGCGCAAUGGGCGAAAGCCCGACGCAGCAACGCCGCGUGGAGGACGAAGGCUUUCUGAGUUGUAAACUCCUUUCAGCAGGGACGAUUGUGACGGUACCUGCAGAAGAAGCACCGGCCAACUACGUGCCAGCAGCCGCGGUGAUACGUAGGGUGCAAGCGUUGUCCGGAUUUAUUGGGCGUAAAGAGCUCGUAGGCGGUUUGAUAAGUCGGGUGUGAAACCUCCAGGCUCAACCUGGAGCGGCCACUCGAUACUGUCAUGACUUGAAUUCNGGUAGGGGACCACGAAAUUCCUGGUGUACCGGUGAAAUGCCCAAAUAUCCAGGAGAACCCCACCNCCAAAAGCGGGGGUUCUGGCCCAACAUUGAACCUGAAGACCAAAGCGUGGGGAACCAACCAGAUAAAAUCCCUGGUAGUCCCGCCCGAAAACUUUGGGCCUAGGGUGUGGGAAUUUUUCACGGUUUCCUGCCGACACUAAGCAUUUAGGCCCCCC